CUAAACUAUGAACCAGCAUUAGUGAACCGUUCUUUGUUUUCUGUUUUACAUAAUGUGGGCUAGUUAAGUUACAGCCCAAUCUGUAAGUGGUUUGUUCUUCCUUUGUUUAUUUCCCUUUUUGUUAUGUAUGGCAGCAGUUCUUUAAAUAAAAAAUUUCCAGCUGCAAUAGAAUAUAUUUAAGUUGCUGCAGUUAAAAAGCUUGUAGUUGGAUCUUGGGAUCGAGCAGGCGGUCCGCCGCGAGGUGAGCUACUGCCUGUCCCAGCCCCUGUCUUUCGGCACCUCCCCAAUGCUCUUGACUGAGUGUCCUGGGGGCCCAAAGGUUUACUUUGAAAAAAUUAGUGUUCAAAGCAGGCUGGUCGCCUGAAUACUUCAGUUAGAAAUAAUGCAAAUCGGACUCCUGUUGUACUUUGUUGGUUUUCGGAACUAGGGCCAUGACUAAGAGGGACGGCCGGGGGCAUUCGUAUUGUGCCCCUAGAGGUGAAAUUCUUGGACCGGCGCAAGACGAACCAAAGCGAAAGCAUUUGCCAAGAAUGUUUUCAUUAAUCAAGAACGAAAGUCGAAGGUUCGAAGACGAUCAGAUCUUAGUUCCGACCAUAAACAAUGCCGACUGGCGAUCCAGCGGCGUUAUUCCCAUGACCCGCUGAGCAGCUUCCGGGAAAUCAAAGUCUUUGGGUUCCAGGGGGGUAUGGUUGCAAAAUUGCAACUUAAAGCAAUUGACAGAAGGGCACCAUCAGGAGCGGAGCCUGCGGCUUAAUUUGACUCAACACGGAAAAGCUCGCCCGGACAUGGAAAGGAUUGACAGAUUGAUAGCUCUUUCUCGAUUCUGUGGGUGGUGGUGCAUGGCCGUUCUUAGUUGGUGGAGCGAUUUGUCUGGUUAAUUCCGAUAAUGAACGAGACUCCUCCAUGCUAACUAGUUACGCAACCCCGGUGGUCCGCGUCCAACUUCUUAGAGGGACAAGUAGCGUUCAGCCACACGAGAUCGAGCAAUAAAAGGUCUGUGAUGCCCUUAGAUGUCCGGGGCUGCACGCGCGCUACAUUGAAUGGACCACUGCGUGUCUACCCUUCGCCGACAGGUACGGGUAACCCGCUGAACCGCUUUCGUGAUGGGGAUCGGGGAUUGCAAUUAUUUCCCAUAAAUGAGGAAUUUCCAGUAAGCGCGGGUCAUAAUUAACGCAAGUCCCUGCCCUUUGUACACACACCCCGUCGCUACUGAUUGGAUGGUUUAGUGAGGUCCUCGGAUCGGCCCCGCGACUGCCCUGGUGGAGCGCCGAGAAGAUGAUCAAACUUGACUAUCUAGAGGAAGUAAAAGUCGUAACAAGGUUUCCAUAGGUGAACCUGCGGAAG
rnacentral:rRNA from 1 species